rnacentral:lncRNA from 1 species
AGAAAGCAUCGUUUUGACUGAUCUUCUUUUAGAAGUGAUUUUUUUAAAAGCCACUUGUGAUUGUGUACAAUGGCCAAAUUUUCGAGUAAUUUUGCCCUCAUCAAGUUGCUUUACCCUUGCAAAAAGAUGAUAAUCCUUUAAUUGUCUUUGGUUUCGCUUCUCCUCAGGCUUGAUCCAAAACGAAAAAGACUAUGGUGGGAUUUUGAUUUGUUCAUUCUGAGAUCUAUCAUGUCCCUAAGCUGGAGUCCUGGAGGGGAACAUUGGAAUGGCUAACACAGUUACAAACACACAUUGUGAACAUGUGUGUUGAGGUGGUCAUAUUAGUCACUCCAUGGAAAAAACACCAGUCAUGAUGGUAAGCUCUGCUGAUUUGAAUGUCCCAUCAUAUACAUUUCCAGCUCGUAUUUGGAAUAAGAUGCUUGUUGAUAUGAAUAUUGUCUAGCUGACUUAUGCCUUAUCAAUUGCUGAAUCAGUUGUCUAGUUUGCCCUUGUGCUCCACCUUGAAUACCUCAAAUCAUGAGUGAGGGCUAUGUUGGUUAUCUACUAAUCGGAAUCUCGUGCCCUGAUCUAUAGAUUGUUCCAAUUGCCCUUCUACUCCACCUUGAAUACCUCAAAUCAUGAGGGCUAUUUAAGUAAUCUGCUAAUCGGAAUCUCGUGGCCUGAUCGAUCCAUCAGGUUUCAAGAACUUGGCAGACUGAUUGUAUACAGUUGGUUGAUGUCACUAAGUUGCCUCUUAGGAAUUUGUUAGAUCUAUCAAAUUCAAAAUUGUCAUCUAACAUGUUUCUGGGACACGAUCGAUCCUUUUGAUCGGAUGAUUUAGCGAUUGACUUCAAAGACAUUCGUUAGCGAUUUACUUUCGGUUUCACGGUUUGCUUCUACCUCUAAUAUUCAGAACUCAUAUAUAGUCGUUCCAGUUGCCCUUGUGCUCCAAGUGGAAACCAUUAAUCAAUCAUGAUAGUUAUGUUGGUAAGCUGCUGAUCUGGAUUUCAUCUGAUGCCUGUUGAUAUGAAUAUAGUCAGUCGGGCACUAUGUUGGAAACUUUGAUCGGUUGGAAAUUCAUCGAUUUUGAUCGGUUGAUAUGUUGGAAAUUCAUCAAUGUGGAUCGGUUGAUUGAUAAUAAGUUUGGAAUUUUAUUAAUUAGUUUCGGCUUGACUGAUCUUUUUGGUUGAAGUCCAUCAGUUUCUGUCCAAAGACAGUAUAAAUAAUGUGUAUUUGUAGUUAUUGAGUGAUUAAGGUAAAAUGUAUAAACUUAAGGACUAAAGUUUGUUUCUAGUAAAAUUUAAGGAGCGAAUAUAAUUAAGUACAUAAUUCCUUCAGUAUUCAUUCUGGAGUGUGCCAUGUACCGCACACCCCACAUAGAGAUGUUUAGUAUUCCUUCUGGAGUGUGUCAUGUACCGCACACCGCACAUAGAAGGGUGCACCAAUAUACCGGGUGUAUCGAAAAGAGCACCCUUUUUAAUCCUUAUCUUAUAUAUUGUAUCCAACUACAUUACGAUUAAUUUUGUCACUCCAAACUGUUCAUUAAACUAUUUUAUUUCAAUAUUUCUAUUAAUCGAAUCGAAUCAAGAUCGACUAGUGAUAAAUCACCAAUCCUCUAAAACCAAAAAAAUAGUUCCCCUUAUGUUUUUUCGAUCUUACUCUCGCGGAUUAUGUAGCCUUGGCCAAAACAUCCUAUGUCUACCUCCGCCUAUCUCGACCUUCGGAGAAGGAAGUUACUCCUCCGGAGCCUACUUCCUAAAAUCCCUAAUCUUCCUUUCCAUCUUUCGUCUAUCAGGCCUGAUGAUUCUCCAUUGCAUUGUCGCUUUCCUUCGUCCCUUGGACUUGCCAUGAAGCAACAUUUUCUCUCAAAUUAACUCUGACACCAAGAAGGCAUUCACCCCACUAUAGGUGAGAACUUCAUUCUCACAGUCAAUUGUCUCACAUUGCGGUCAGUCCCUCAAUAUCUUAGUCCUUCGAUGUGUUCGUUCGCAGUUUGAAGAUAGUUUUGACGAUUACAGUCUCUAUAAGCGAGUAAGUAUCUGUUUUGUUGACUACAUAGUUUUAAUUGAUGCAAAAGUAUUAAUUGCAUGCUGGUUUUUUUAUCAAUGGAGGUUUAGAUUUUGUAAUACGCUGUCAAAUUGUGUUGCUCUUAUUUUGUGAACUGCUUCUUGGUACCGACUCUUCAGCUUGUUACAUCCAAAUACCCAAAUUUAGCUGAAACUUUUUAAACUUUAACAAAUCUAGUAUGAAUUAUUUUAAAACCAGAAUCUACGUCCUCCAUCCCAUUCUCCGUCUAUGUCGUUAGUUAGUUUUGACGGUAGUGAACGUGUUGUGUGCGGUUUGAAAGGUGUCCAGUCAGAAAAUAUGACCCAUGUGGACAAUCCAGUCAUUAAGUAAUUGCCACAUGGACUGACAAGUUAAAAAACAAGAAGAUAAGAAAGAUGUGGUUAAACAUUGGUUUCCUUAUCCCAUACUGCAAACUCGAUCGUUACUUUACAUUCCUCUUCUCUCACUCAAACUUCAAACCGACUUCCCAUAGCUCGAUUCAUUACGAUUUCCGUUGUAACACCAAGGUUGUAUCUGGUGACGCAAUUACAACCAACAUCUCUUGUAAUUUAGGGUUUUUAAGGAUGAGUGUUUGUUGUUUAUGUCCAUUAUUCUUUUGCAUUGUGGAGAAAGAGGAGUCAUGUUUUUUGUUGGCAUUGAGGAUUCUGUAGAAAGAGGGUUUCUAGCGGCGUUGUU